GCCAUUUGAGUAUAUAUAUUCUCAUUUAAUCCUCUUUUGCUUCUACACUGGAGUUCCUAUUUUUUUCUUUUUAAAAAGAUGCUUAUUCCACUGUUGCAACUCUACUUCUCUCCCCUAUCUUUUCUUUUUUUUAAACAGACGCUUACCGCUGACAGCAACGAGCUGAUGGAGAAAUAGUUGGGUAAAUUGUAUAAGAUAUAAACAUAUAAAUGGAUAUAGGCUCUUGAUUUUAAUUUAUUUUUUAAAUAAUAAUUAUAAUUAACAUUGUGCACAUAUAUAAUAUAAAUAAAGAUAUGACUAAAGCUAUAUUUUAUAAUUAUGAAAAUGUAUAUAAUAUUUUUAUUCUAGAAAGCCACAAUCAUUAUCGGCUGUUAGAUGCCAAAUCGGAUGGCGCAGGGC
rnacentral:lncRNA from 1 species